GGGCCUAUAGUUCAACGGCAGAACGCCGCUAUGGCAUGGCGGAGAUAUGGGUUCAAUUCCCAUUAGGUCCA
rnacentral:tRNA from 2 species